UACCGCAUGGUGCCGUGUAGGCAUCUUUAAAUGCUGACGUCAAGCAUGCAUUCUACUCGACGCGCUUAUGGCGGCGAAUACUAUCGGAUGUGGAGUAUAAUAAAUGAUCCUGUGGCGCAUUUAAUGAAAUCGUAGUAUCCUAUUAUAGCACGCAGCCAAUCAAGUAGAGUAUGGUGUCUGAAUGACAUGACCUUGAUAUGACUUGUCAGAAUCAUAUGAUGGCCAUGUUCGAUACUCAGCUCAUCGGCUGAGACCCGUGUUAUCGGAGUCGGCAGAAUAAGUCCGUCAGAUUGUCUUGUCCUCGAUUAGCAUAAUCGACAGUCAAUCGAGUAUGAACUCGGUCACAGACCGAGAGCCGUUGGGCGCCAAAAACCGUGGGUGGCACAUUAAUCUUAGUCGAGCUGAUGCCGACUAGGAGGAGCAGCUUUUGGUUGGCUGGGCAUCCAUGUCGAUGUCCGACAUCGACCCUGCCGGGUUGAUUGGCGGUAGCUUAAUCGGUGUAGCUUUCUUGGUUGGCUCAGAUACGAGAAGGUUGGAU
rnacentral:lncRNA from 1 species